rnacentral:rRNA from 1 species
CGUUCCUAUGGGACGCAGCAGUGAGGAAUAUUGGUCAAUGGACGCAAGUCUGAACCGGCCAAGUAGCGUGAAGGAUGACUGCCCUAUGGGUUGUAAACUUCUUUUAUAUGGGAAUAAAAUGUUCCACGUGUGGGAUUUUGUAUGUACCAUAUGAAUAAGGAUCGGCUAACUCCGUGCCAGCAGCCGCGGUAAUACGGAGGAUCCGAGCGUUAUCCGGAUUUAUUGGGUUUAAAGGGAGCGUAGGUGGAUUGUUAAGUCAGUUGUGAAAAUUUGCGGCUCAACCGUAAAAUUGCAGUUGAAACUGG